GAAUUUCUUUCAGAUGAACAUGAAAAUCCUUGUCCUGCAUGGACACAGAGGGCCAAAUAUUCAGGUUGAUGUCUGAGCCACUGGACUAUCAUCAUAAACAUUCCAGAAAAGGAGAGAGAAAACUGAUGGAGACAGUGAGAAGAAAGACAGUAACACUGGAAGCUGCAUGGGAUUAAUGGUGGACAUAUCCAAAGAAAGAAAGCAAUCUGAAACAAACUCAUACCAUUA